UCCUUCCCCCUUCCCUCCCUUCCUCCCACCCUCCUUUCCUUCCCCCUUCCCUUCCUCCCUCCCUCCCUUCCUUCCAGUUACCACAUGUAAGUGCAAAUGUUACUUGCUUUCAACUUUAUCCCACCUAGCAUGUUUUCUUCUAGUUUCUUUCACAUCACAAUAUUCACAAAGGAUUAAAUGUCAUCCAUUUAUCUUGCUAAAUAAUGAUCUCUUGGGUUUGUAUCACCCUGGGUGGAUGAAAUGAAAAGAAAAGAUCUUCCUGCUGUGGUGUGAUGUCAUUUCCUGGGUCAAGCACAGAAAGGAGGGGAGCAGCAGUAAGCGUUGGUGGCCCUGUGCAUUCUGAUUGUGAGUGCGGUGUGGCUGGUGCUUCAGGCUUCUGCCAUCUAUACCUCCCUGCCGUGAUGGACUGUAUUCUUAACCUGUAAGCGAGUGGAGGCCUGACAUUUACUUGGGCCUACAGUGACAGGAGAAGGAACAGAGCCAUGCACUUUCAAGUUCUCUAUUUCACUUGUCUAUGAGUGAAGCGUUGAUUGUGAAGACAUAAUGCCAUACCUUAUUUAAAUGCUGCCAUCUCCGUCCCCAAUUCAGUUUCUCUUUCCUUUCAUUGCUCAGCGAAUGUUCUAUCCUCUGUGUGAUUUUACCAUCGGCAUUUAUAUCUUAAAUGCUUUCUGUCGUUUAUAAUUACGUAUUGUGACAUAAUUGGAGUCAUUACAUUAUCGAGAAGUUUUGGUAAUGGCCAGACUGCAACCAACACAGGAGCGUUGCCGAGGAUAUGUAUGUGGUUGAAGUCAUUCCCGGAGAAGCCACUUGCUGCGGUGUUCAGUCAGUGCCCCACACCGCAGGGUGACUCCUCAGCCUCUUCAUGCCAUGAUUGCUGUUGAUUUGAUUGAAUCGGAUGAGCUCACCUUCCUUCGGGAACUUGGUCUCUGGAUGUCCCUCAGGGAAGCUGAGGAGCAGCAUCGUUGCGUGGGACUUAAGCCACCUCAAGAAAUAGAGCUACAUAAAAGCCUGCCAACCUCCAUCCAUGUUUAUACAGGUAGAUCCUGAAGAUGGACGCUUCAGCCAUCUUGAAAAACCCACCAAUGAUUCAACAAAUAAGGCAGCAAGCACCUGAAUUCACCUCUUUGUAGUUGCUUUCAAUGUCAACGCUGAUAAAACAUUUCAGUGGUCUCUGUGCUAUGACUCUGAUCAAGUCUUUAAUAAAGCUUUGUACGCUUAUAAAGUAUUGGCAUAAAUUAGCAAGCAUUUAUUGCUUAUACAGGCUGUAAUAGAGAAUUCUUUUUUACUUUCUUCAGUUGUGUAUGCCUGGAAUCCCCGUUUCAGUUAGCGCUUGUUAAGAUGUUGGCCUUUUCCCAUGGGAUAGGGCAGCUUAAUAUAUGGUUCUUAUUAGUUUGUCUAGUUCGUUACCAUUCCUCUGUCAAGCUAAAUGGCUUUUAGAUGACUCGUGCAUUUAAGUCUGUUCAAAAGUUGUUAAGGUUUGUAAUUUAUCAUAUAACCAUUUCUGACCUUGUUUGGUCCCUGACUAGAGUGAUGUUCAUUGAAUAUAUAUUGAAGAAUAUGAGAAACAUUAAUGUCGCACUAAAAGCAUUAGCAGUAAGCGUGUGUGUUUGUGUGUGUGUGGUGUGUGUGUGAGCACAUGUGCGAGGUGGCUAAGUUGUUGCUGGCAAUCAAUCAUAAGGCUUUAUUUCUUAUAUUUGGUAGUGAAGACAUUUUCCAUUAUUUAUAAUUUUUAAAUUACUUCCAUUUUAAAAUUAGCCACCCUCAUUUCAGCCCAUGUUCAACAGUGAUAUAUUUUCUGAAUCUAUAUCAUUGUAUAUGGUUUGACCUUUAGUUGAAUCUGGUAGUAAAGAUCAGGAUGAGUUAUGCUCGAGCGGAGAGGGCCUUUAAUGUUUCUCCGUGCUUGGUGUUGUCCCACCACACAUGCUGUGUGAUGUUAUUAAUUUGCUUGAAUCAUAAUGAGCUUAAAAAAAAAAACCCCAAGUCGGUCUUGGCUAAUGCAUUCUUGGACGUUAAGAAAGGGCUGUAACACCUGAGUGUUCUGCAUGAGCUGCAAUGGAGGCAGACAGUUGCCUACAGGCAGCAGAAUGUAUUUCUGCAGGUGUGUUUUCUCUGUGUGUGUGUGUAGGUGACUCUCGAUGACCCUAGCAGUGUCCUUAUUCUCAUUUGGGAGCUAAGUUUUUAGAAUGUAACUAACUGAAUAUUUGUGGAGUCGCCCCCAAACCACUCAAACAGUAGGAAGGCAUAAAUGACUCUGAGUGUUUAAAACAUGCAGAAGAAUAAACUCGGUCAUCAGUGGCAUGCAGUGGGUAUGUGGCUGUCUGUAUGUUACCAUUCCCUUGGGCCCAGCAGUGUCUGUUCACCUAGGCAGGAAUAUCAAGUCCUUGACAGUGCCCUGCCCGGGGAGAGUCAGUGACUAUGGCUCAGCCUUAGUCACAGGGCCUGGGCCUCUGGAACACCCCUGGUCUACUUUUUUGGUAUACAAUGACUCAUGUAGUCGAUCGACUGUGACAGUGAAGUGAUUGCAGACAGGGAGACCUAGGCUUUCAGUGAGUCCAUGAGGGGCAAAGGUCAGUAUCAUUCUAAAAUCAUUCACAGCCCACAGAAGUAAAACGCAACUUCACUUGAGAGAGUCGAUGCAUUUCUGAAAGUUUCAUAUUACCAGAAAACCACCAUCUCAUCAUAAGUUCCUUAAAGUGCUAGGCAGAUGCAUAUAUGGGAAAAUUUCAGGCAGCCAUAGGGGCAUUUAAGAGUGCUUCAAAUCUAUUAAGAUUGCAGAUAGCACGGAUUUAUAGAGCAAAUAUUUUUUUUCAAUAAACCAUCUUGUGGGGAGGAUUGAAUAAGCUGAAAAUGAUCUGGGAAGUUUUGAGUGUCUGUCACCUCCUGGGAGCUAGUGUCAAUGGAGAAGGGUAUUGGUUUAACUGGGCAAAUUCAUCAUUAGAGGCUAACAGUGACUUAGUAGUUGGCCCAGUGUGGCUAUGGGCCACUCGUAUCAGAAAACUUGAAAGUUACAGGAUAUUUGCUUCGUUAGUUAAGGUCAACUUCCUGACAUUGUUAGUAUGUUUGGACACUUUAGAAAAAAAUCUCUUAGAUUUAGCUGGGGUCAUUUUGCAAGCCUGUAAUCCCAGCUACUCCAAGGGGCUGCGGCAGGAACAUGGCAGGUUCAUUGGCCUGUCUGAGUUAUAGCGGGUAUUCAAGGCUAGCCUAAGCAACUUAGUGAAUCCCUGUCUCACAAUACAAAGUAAAGAGAAGACCCGGUUUAUGGACCCAUGAUGGAGCCCUUGCCUAGUGUGCACAAGCCUCUAGGUUCAGUCAAGCCUUCCCUUUCUCUCCCCAAGACUACCUCAGACUUCUCCUAAGUGUGUAAUUGAUAGUAUUUAGAUCCCUAAAGGGUCUAGUACUGAAUCGUUUUCUCAAGAUAUUUAAGAAGUAAUAAAAGCAAAUGCUUCCUUAUCUUAGAAUUGAGGAAAAUGUUAUUAUAUAUGUAUAUAUAUAUUCAUAAAUAUUAUUUUAGGGGGAUUUAUUAAUUUUAUGUGUGAGUGUUCUGUCUGUCUGUCUGUCUGUCUGUAUGUAUGUAUGUAUGUUAUGUGCACCAUGUGCAUGCUUGGCGGCCAUGGAGGUCAGCAGAGGGCAUCAGAUCCUCUAGAACUGGAGUUAGGAAUGAUUGUGAGCUGUCAUGUGGAUGCUGGGAAUCUAAACUGGGUCCUCACUGCAAUCAGAAGUACUUUUACCCAUUGAGCCUUCUCUUCAGCCCAUAAAUACAGUUUUUAAUCACUAAAUAGAUAAAUAGAUAGAUAAAAAAUGCACUGAACAAAUAUGUUUUACAUUGUAUAUUUCUCUUGGGUCCCUCCUACCCCCAUACCUUAUAGCCAUUGUCUCUUUCAUGCAUGUAGCUACCUUUCUCUGUUUAUUCUUUUUCUUGAGAGCUAGCUGUGAGUGUUUUGUAUUUCUUAAUACAAUUUGCCUCUUUUUUUUUUUUAAUUCAUUUAUGUAAGUACACUGUAGCUAUCUUCAGACACUCCAGAAGAGGGUAUCAGAUCUCAUUAGGGAUGGUUGUGAGCCACCAUGUGGUUGCUGGGAUUUGAACUCAGGACCUUUAGAAGAGCAGUCAGUUCUCUUAACUGCUGAGCCAUCUCUCCAGCCGCACAAUUUGCCUCUUAAGAGGCAAAAUUGAGACCACUAAUAUAGCUACUCAUGUAACAAGAGAGAAAAUGAGUGUUAGAACAUUUUAUUCUUGAAAUUCAGAUUCAAUGCCCAAGAAGAUGUUAAAUUAAAACGUUUAGGAACAAAUUUUAUAUGAUAUUUGACAUUUUUUUGACAUGGUUUCUCCUUCAGAAGUCUUUAUUACCUUCACCACACUCACAGCCAUUAAUUAGACUUAAUUAUGUAACUAUACUGGCGCUCACUCGUGUUUCUUCAGAAAGCCAGUUUUCUGGUCCUGCCUCCUCCCAUCCCUGUAGUCUCUAACAACAGUGGCAGCUGAAGUUUGUUAGGUUGCUUAACCUUCCUUUCUGUGGCUCACCUUGCUGCAGAUUGAAAAUAAUUUUUUUUUACGUCAUGCGUGUCCAAGCCCCCUUUUGUAGUCAGUAUGGCAUAACUUUUGUUUACACAUCAUUUGCAUUGUACGUGAAGCAGGGGUUGAGUGUGCAUGGGAGGAUGUGUGUAAGGUUGUCUAGAAAUACUCUGCUAUUUAUCUAGGAUACUGAGCAUCGUGACAUCUUGCUGUCUAUGUCAGCUUCUUGGAUUCCAAGGGCUGAUUGCGUUACCAGCGUGUCCUGGGCAUUGGUGUGUGCUCUUCUGUCGGGGUUAAGCCUCUCUACACCGCUCUGAUGUUGACUUUAUUAUUAUCUCCUCUGGAAAGAUAAAUUAACAUAGUGGAUGAGAACUGAAAUACUUUGUGCGUUGUCACCAGACCUUUGCAGCUGCAAGCUGGUAAAUCCGCCUCUCUCUCUAACGUCCAUAUUUCCCUUGGGUAGAAGAAGCACACGCGCGCAUACACCUGCAAACCUCGCCAAUCUGAGAACUCUGCACAGCUUCAAGAUAUAAAUGACCAGUGCAGUUCAGCAGGACAUUACUGAGCCACGAUGGCGUUUUCCUCCCAGGGAAGGUAAAGCUGUGGCUGUCCUACUGAAUCUGCCAGUUCCCUCUUCCCAGGCAUCCCGUUCUCUCUUCUCAGGCAUCCCGUUCUCUCUUCCCAGGCAUCCCGUUCUCUCUUCCCAGGCAUCCUGUUCUCUCCCUGCGCAAACUAUGCUUGUAGGUUCACACUUUCACUUUUAACUUUAAAAACCAAGCCCUUGUUGCUGGGUUGGAGUUUGGCCUGUCAGGUCAUUAUUAGUUAAACUUGUGUAAAAUAACAAAAUUCCCAUCAUGUCAGAUUUCGGUGUUUCUUUGGACUUGAAAGGAUCCCCACAUCGCACCUGUGUUUCUCGCUCCCGUCCCACUUACUGGCUUUGAUUCCUCUCUACAAAUGCUCGUUGUUCUCAUUGGCUGUGUUUCCAUAAAAUAAAGGCCAACCCACAGGCUGUUUAUCUUAGCAGCCUGAGGCUUGCCUCUCCUGCCCUGGUACGCUUCUUCUUCCUGCCUUGUUUCCAGAGGCACCCUGUCCAUCCCCAACCCUGUCCAUCCCCAACCCUGUCUCCCACGAUGGCCAUUAGAAGCUCAUUCUUUCUGUCACUCUCCUUCCUUCCCUUUUUGGAACUUCCUUCUGCUGUGGCAGCGGCAGGUCUUGGUUAGCUGGACCAAUCAUGCCAACAUCGAUUCUCCAAAUGUAUAGCUUUCUGGGCUCGAAAAAGUUCUCCACCUUCUAGUCUACUAAUGUAAUUCUAAUGAAAGCCGGAGAUUAAAUAAUUGAUAUAACCAAAAUGUACUGAUCUGAGGGGAAAGAAAUCAGAUCCAAAAUAGAAAAAUUAAAUGAAUCCUCCCUCACGGGGUCACAUCUGAUUAUUUUCUUCUGCUUAUAAAUGAAAACAAAACUAAACAUGGCUCAUCAACUGUAGUUGUUUUACUUUGUAGACAGUAUAGUCCUUUUUCCUCCUUUUCCUCCUCCUCCUCUUCCUCUUCUUCCCACUCCUCCUCCCCUUACCCCCUCCUUCUCCUCUCUUCCUCCUCUUCCUCCCCCCUUUUCUCCUCUUCUUCCUCCUCUUCUUCCCCUUCCUUCUCCUCCCUUUCCUCCUCCUUCUUUCUGUCUUCGUUUUUACCCUACAUCUUUAUAUCAGGGUCCUUGAUACAUGUGUCACUGGCUAGCCUUUUCCCAUGGGUCCUGCUCUUCCGAUGUGACAUUUUCCACAUCUCCUUUAUUUAGUAGCUCCCAAUUCAUUGGCCUUUCCCACUCCUAUGCUGUAUGUUAGUUUGAAGUAGGAGGACAGGUCCUAAUAGACUGCAUUGUAGUGCUCCGAUGGAGCUUAAGGUUUCUAGGGUUCCUGUCGAAGGGUAAAAAUGACCAUGGUGGAGGGAGAAGAGGCAUGAAUCCCAAAAAGGACUGGAAAGAGGGCUCAGCUGUUAAAAACUCCUGUGGAUUUUUCUGAGUAGAGUUCCAUUUACCUGACAAUCAUGUUAGGCAGUUCAAAACUGCCUGUAACUCCCACCCAAGCUGAUCCACUGUUUCUGGUUUCCUUAGAAACCUGCAUGUAUAUACACAUAGCCCAUAUACACAUGCACAAAUACAAUCCAAAGUUUCAUAAAUAAAUAAGAUUAAAGAGAAACCUACAUCCAGAUAGUAAGUGAUACUGCAUCUACUCUUUUUCAAUUAAUCUUUGUUACUGAUGAUGGGGAAUUAGAUACAUCAGUGACUGAUCCAUGCUAGGGGGUUUAGCCUUGCCAUAUGCCCUACAUCAGUGACUGAUCCAUGCUAGGUGGUUUAGCCUUGCCAUAUGCCCUACAUCAGUGACUGAUCCGUGCUAGGUGGUUUAGCCUAGCCAUAUGCCCUAGAUGGAUGAGUAACUUAACUCUAACUUCUGUCUUUAACUCUACCCAGUGUCUUUAUUAUGUCUAGAAGUGACCAAUCAUGUUCAUUUUAAGCAAUGUAAAUAUCCAAGACCAAUCUUAAAUAUUAUGGCUUUCUUAGACUAACAUUCCUUGCUCACCAUAAGGAAUGAGCUGUUCAGGGAACUCAACUUUCUUCAGCCUGCCUCUGGGUAUGUCAGCACUUUUGGCAAAUCAAUAUAUUUAAGAGGGAAUUGAAAAAUUAAUAGGGAUUAUAUUACCACAAACUUAGGUUUUGUAGUUGUUAAAUUGGCUGCAAUGAAAUAAUGAAUAGUCACCUAAACUGUUAAAAUGCACUAUACUCACUCUAACGCGCCCAGUGUUUGGAGGUUUUCCUCACCGCCCCCGUGCUUCAUCAAAGCAUUACAUGUAAAGUGCUGCCCGGGCCACAGUUCGAUUAGUCGUGUCUUUUGGAGUAUGACAGAUUUACGUAUCUCAGAAGAUGCUGAGUAAGGAGUUCUACUCAGGCUGUACUGAAAUUGCCUUUAUGCAGCGCAGUGGAUGAGACCCAGAAAUAGAAUAGGUUAUUGAUUUUUGCCUAUUUUGCAUUUAUGGCAAGAGAAAAAUAAUACUUGUAAUUUUUCUUUCAAGCAUACAAAGUCUGUGCAGAAUUUUUCUCUCUCAUUUCUUGUCUGAUGUUGAUAUUACCAGAACUUUCCAUAGGCUCCCGCCUCCACAUUUGCAUCUGUGAAGUCAGCAUGCCUGUAGUAUCUGUCUAACUGAUUAGCUGCUUCAUUUCCCCACAGAUUUUGCAUUGCACUUUCUUAUUCAGGAUCCCUCUCACUUUCUCAAGUUGGUUUAUGGUAGAAUAUCGGUUUGAAUGUAAGACUUUCUCUUCCUUCUCCUCCUGCUAUUCUUCUUCCUCUUCUUCCUCCUCUUCCUUCUCCUCCUGCUAUUCUUCUUCUUCUUCUUCCUCCUCUUCCUUCUCCCUCCUCCUCCUCCUCCUUUUUGAUAUUUAGUUGAAUAGAAUGUAGACCUAUAUUUUUUUAAAAAAUAAAUUUGAAUUUAGAUUUUUCUACUUUUCGUACAUGUGGAUCAUUCCUGUUUUUCACAGUUAAGACAAUUUUAACAAGUAAAAAUUAAGAAGCUUGGUUUUCUGUUAGGAAUUGAAGUCAAGAUAGAGAUGGGCAAUUCAUGAAACCACUUAAGCCAAGCACUUCCUCAGCCUUCGUAGCUUUCAAGUAAUGCCAUGAUCCAGAGUUUACUGGUGAUGAAAGGCAGAGAUAAGAGCUGUAGCUCACUGGUCUGUUACCGUACUAACAGAAACUGACAUUUGCAACACACACUGUACCUCAUGUCCCUUUUCUUAAAGGAGACAUGCUUUGUUUUGGCCUCAUUGCCAUGAAUCUGUCUCAGGAAAGGGUCUUAAGAGAAAACCCACUCCCUCUUUUUGUUGUUCUGUGCAUUAUAAAAGGAAAGAAAAGGGAAUACAGCGUUUGAUUGGAGCAGUGAGCAUCCCCUCGUGGAUCUGGUAACCUUGUUAAAAGGUGAUGUCCUCGUAUCUUCUCCUGAGUUAGUUUAUAGUUGAUAAACUAGCAGCUUGCAAGAUGUGCCCUGGGUUUCUAUCUCUCCUCUCCACACACCUAUUACUUCACAUGUUUGCCUGUGUGCACAACACAUGCCUGAUGCCCACAGGGGCUAGAAGAGGGCAUUGGAUCCAUAGAUCUGAGUUGCAGAUGGCUUCGAGCUUCCAUGUUGGUAUGGGGAAUCAAACCCUGGUCCUCUGAAGAGCAGCCAGUGUGCUUAGCCAUGGAGUCAUCCCUGUGUCUCCUUUUUUCUAUAUUCUUAUAUCUGACUCCUGUGAUUUUAGACACUUCCCCUUUGGAAGCUCAGAGUCUCUUACUCUCCUCUUCUUGUGUUCCGCCCUUCUGGAAGAACCAGACCGUGCACAAACUGCAGGGGUGAGUUGACUGCAAAUCCAGCCUGUUCUAGUAAGGCCUCAAAGCAACAAGAACAGAACAUACGAGAAUCUCAGGAAUCUAGUCAAGCCUUGGGCUGCAUAUUAAAAGCUGGUUCUGCUCAGCUAUGGUUUCCCUACAAAUUUAAAGUUAUACUAAAAUAGUUUAUGAAUUCAAGCCCAGUUGACUCUUCUUUAAAAGAUUUAUUUAUAUAUUUUACAUAUACGAAUGUUUUGUCUGCAUGUAUGCCUGUAUACCAGAGAUAACAUCAGAUCUCACUGUGAAUGGUUGUGAAGAUCCAUGUGGUUUGGUAGAAAUUGAACUCAGGACCUCUGGAAGAGCAGCCACUGAGCCAUCUCUCCAGCCUGCCAGUAGAUUCUUGAUGAAGAUGUGACAGAGUCAUUGACACAUAUAGCUAAUAAGCGUUAGUCAUCUACCUUGAUAACUCUUGGAUUUUCACUGUCUCUGAAUGUUUGUGUUCUCAAUAUUAAAUGUGUACAUAAGUAACUUUUUAAGUAACUGAGGUAGUAUCAAAAAUUCCUCUUAAGUCAGAUUUUGCUAAUAUUGAAGGAAAACUAGGGGUUCUGAAAUAUCAGGCCAUUCAAAUAUACACAGCACCUAAUGGACAACCACGUGGUAAGUCAUUGACGCCUUCAUUAAGUAGCUGGUGAACCCUUCACAGUUAGUCAGGUGACAAUUUCAAGCUUUAUAAGAUAAAAGAGCUAGGUUGAUCCUUCGGAAUUAUGUAAGGACACACUCUAAUCUGGACACAGUGGCAAACACAGGGUAGGUGAAGAUAAAGAUACCUGGAACCUGCCUUCUAGGAGCACAAAUGGGAAAGACGACAGAGAAUCCGUGGGGACUCAGCCCUAACUGUUCCAGGGAACUGUGAGAACCUGAAGGGUGCAAAGGUGACAGACUUCAGAGAUGGAGAGAUGAGUGGCAGGUGAGGGAGUGGGAAAGUGACUUUAGAGAUGAUAGGGCUUGGGACAGGAGUGGACCCUGGUUGACUGACGGCAGGCUGUUUAUUUGGUGCACCUACAAUAUUUCAUUGUUACCACAAUGUAUAACACUUUUGAAAUCCCACGUAGACGUACUUACCGUGUCCUUUUGAAAAUCAGAACAGGACAGACACCCGAGGCUUUGUUGUCAAACGUGGCUUCAAUGAGACUGAUGCUCUCUGGCUCCACAACCUUUCAUGUGACUUGGAGAAACCCUGGCUUCCCAGUGAGGGAAGCCGUGAAAUGGAAGUGGGAGAAGAUUUGGGUCAAGCCAUGCAUCUUACUCCUUUCAAGUAGAAAAGGAUUUUCGGAAGAUUAUCAAAGAAGAUUCCUCAUCAAAGGAGAACUUUUUGUGGAGAGGAAACGUAGGUUGACUGGUGUCCACCCCAAACGCAUGUGCUUAAAUCUCAGCUGCCAGUUCCUCAGGAUGUGGCAAUAUUUGGAAGUAUUACACUUUAAAGAGAUAACACCCUCAUCCUGUUUGAAUGUGUUGUCACCAAAGGAAGAGACACCGGAGACAUGUGUGCCCAGAAGGGCAGCCACAUUUGCCAGUCAACAAGACAGACCAUGGUGGAAGCCAUAUUUACUCUGGAGAGCUGCUUUGGUUAGUCAUGCUGAACUAGGCCGGCUCUUGCAAGUGAACAAGGGGACUCUGAGGAGAACACUGAUAGAGCUGGGACUGUUGACUCUAAUUGUGCAGAAGCCACCAACAGUUGCCAGACAAACCUCCAAUGUCAGUUUACAGAUCUGGCCAAAGGUUCAAUGAAGGCCUAUUGCAUUAACUUAACUCAUUAGAGUGAAACAUAGCCCUGGGGUCAGAUACCCACAGUAUACCCCAGGGAUUUGUUGUAGGUAGUGAAAGGAACCUUGAGGGUCUUUUGAAACCUUUGUCCCCUACUUCUCGUGUAGAGAGGCUGAGGAAUGCCACGGUGAUGAUAGGAUGCUUUCACUAAAAGCAUCAAAUCUUUACUUGGUCCUCAAGGCAACUAAAAGAGGGAUGGGUGUCUGGUGUUUCUUCACGUGCCGCUUCAGACGAAACGAAUUGCACUUGUGCGUGCCUUAGCUGAUCUAGAGAUGAAUACUCAUUUUCUGUCUGGUGAAAAAGUAUUGUGAUUGCAUUGCUCUUUAAAAGUGCACACGGGUUGGAGGGAAAGCCCAGCAGUCUUACAGGAGCCUGCAUUUGUCUCCCAGCACCCUAACAGUAGCUCACAAGUGACUAUAGAUCUAGUUCCAGGGGAUACCCUUUUCUGGCCCCCGUGUACUGCAUACAUAUAUACAGUCAAAAUACAUAUAGGAAAUAAAAACAAAUAAAUCUUUUUUUAUAGUUGCAAUACAUCUCUGAGCCUGAGUUGUCUACUUCAGGGAUCAGGUGUGGGUGUGCCUGUGUGUGUAUGUUUUUGUUUGUGUGUGCUUGUAUGUGUGUUUGUAUGUGUGUUUGUAUGUGUGUGUUUGUGUAUGUGUUUGUAUAUGUGUGCUUGUGUGUUUGUCUGUGUGUGUAUGUAUAUGUGUGUGUGUUCCUAUGUGUGUGUGUUUGUAUAUGUUUGUGUGUGUGUAUGUGUGUGUGUUCCUAUGUGUGUGUGUUUGUAUAUGUUUGUGUGUGUAUGAGAGUGUGCUUGUCACUCCUCUCUCAUAUUAUCAGCACCAUCCACUCAGGCUGAUGGAUAUGGAAGCACACUCGGAUUGUGCUGAGGGAAUGCAUUUGUUAGUCUCUAUGAGUGUUUGUUUUUUCAGGUUGCUGUGUUCUGCCUCUAGGCUCUGAACCUUGGUUUCUAUGUCAACAGAUAGGAUUCUUGUGGAGUGUUUGUAAGACAGCUAGCUGGCUGUCAAGGAUACUUGUUGUCCAGAAUGGCUUGCAUUCCUGAGGCUGCACAUGGAUUUAACAUCUCACAUGAUACCACGAUAAGAAACUAGUUUGUUUGUUUGUUUGUUUCCUUCUUUCUUUCUUUUGAAAAGAGAAGGGAAUGAGAGGCCAAAGUUUCAUCUCUGAUGACAUUAGCAAAAGUCACAGACACUCUGUGGACUUCUGUGUCAGGUAUAGUGAAGUGACAGUUCCUCUCUCAUGUGUUUAUUGGAGCACUGAAUUGAAUCUAUGUACAAGCACAGUGCCUAGUACAGUUCCUGGGGGUAAGCUGCUUACCCCUAACUAACCCUUUCUCCUCUGUGCAGCGAGUAUCUGUGUCCCUGUCUGCUCAGCAUCCAUGCCUCUCUCCUCCAGGACCAGCCUCUGGGCUUUGGGUGGCUUCACUUUCCCUAAUCCCCACCUUUGUGCUAGGGAUCCAACAAAGGGCCUUAGAUGCUGGGCAAGUGUGCUUCCACUGAACUGUGUCCCCAGUCACCUCACCACUUUUAAACCUUGAAAUGGGCAAGGUGAUUGUGCUGCAAUACACCCCAAAUUCCCACUUGUUUAUGAAGUAAUUUCACAAACAUUCUUCCUUAAAGGGCAAGAAAUAUUUGUUGGCUGCCUUUUUCUCUGUACACCCAAGCCUAGGGCUGGAGUACAUUCAAAGGACGUUCAAAGGACCCUUCUCUCCUGGUGCUCUCAGUACAGUGACUUCACAGGGGCAGAGUAGGGAUGGUCCUUAUCUAGCAGGUGUAUGUAGAACAGCCAGAGGUACAAUCCCAAAUUAAGUUUGGUGCCAAGUGUAGUAACUGUUCACUUUACUCUAAAAGAGUUAAUUAAGCAAUUAUAAGUUAAAAAAAAAAAGCCUUAGUUCCCAUUGGUCAAUUAGAGGCUCCUGGAAGAAUGGUUAAUUAUUGAAUGUGUUCACUUUAUAUUAUCUUUUUAUGUAAUCUAGAAAAGAAAAUAUUCCAGGCGCUGGUUGUGCAUGCCCUUAAUCCCAGCACUCAGUAAGCAGAGGCAUGUAGAGCUCUGAGUUCCAAGACAGCCAGGGCUAUACAGAGAAACCAUGUCUCAAAAAAAAAAAAAAAAAAAAAAAACCAAAAAAAACCCACCAAACCAAAACAAACAACAGAAUUGGAUGCUUUAUCUUACAUGCAUUUGGCCUGUGAAAUGAAUGUCGUCUCUCUUUAGCAUCCUCUGAACGGUAGAUGUAAGCAAAGUGUUCUUCUCAUGCCAAGCUGCUGAUGGCUCUUAACGAAUCAGUGCCACUCUCUGCUCAGAGGCUUCAUAGAGUGGCUGGUUUCAUCUGUCCUGUCAUUAGAAAACUUGCCUUGACUGUGAAGUCUCUGUGUUAUUGAGAGCCACCUGCUGGCAGGGUCACUCCUGCAUAUGGCCACCCUGAUUUAGAUGCUUACGGCUGAUGGGGACAUAUUGAUCUUAUUAAUUUUAUGUGUGCAUGGGGGUGGGGUCAAAUAUUAUAAGAAUGUCACUGAAGCUGCCAAGAGCAAGAAUAUGUCACUACUAAAAGUUAGCUUGGUACUGUGGCCAGGAUAGAAGCUAUUGGGCCCCGGCUUGUGUAUCUCAUGAUGAUUACAAAUUCACACUGGCAUGUUUAACAGAAACCUAAAAUUGUGUAUGGUACUGCCUGGUGUUAGACAUUGUAUAUACAAUUUAACAGUAGACAUUUAAUUUUUAGAGUAUCUGAGAUUUAGAGCAAAAUUGUGAUGAUAGCGCAGAGUUACCAAGUUUUCUCUGUUUACUGUUAUCCUAGUAUUGCACACUGCUAUAGUUAGUGGACAGUGACAGUGCACAGGUCUGUGCUAUACAGACGUUCUUAGCUUUCACAUAACAAUCUUUUCCCGAUCUUGUAUCCUGCCAUACCAGUCUAGUCAUCGUGUUAUUCCAGCUUUCAGUUACUGUGACAACUUCCCAGACUUGCUUUUUUGACAGUCUUGCCUGUUUUCCCGAUUAUUGGUCAAGGAUUGCAGAACGAACCUUAUGUAGCAGAAGGUCACAUUUGUUGAAGUGGGCUUUAUUGGGUGGAGUUACAUGCAGAUAUGGGUUACAUAGAGGGAAAGUUCUGAUUCUAUUGGCUUCUUCCCAACCCCUGAGAAAGCUGUGACUUACUGUUGCUGUUGGCCUUAAUCACAUGACCAGUUGGUGUUGGCCCUAAUCACAUAACCAGUGUAUCUUCCCCACAGUCUUUUGAAGAACACUGCUGUGUUCAGCCCACACUGAUGGGCUUGGGGUUUUGUCCUACCUGUGAAAGGAGUCUGUGACGGUUACACAUGCUAUUGGCAAUUUUCUCAAGGGAAUAUUUAUGUCUUCAUCUAUUAGGUGUUUGUAUCAGUAUAUGUUUAGAGACUCUAGUUUUGGACUUUGAGUUACAUUGGAAUCUACCCUAGCUUGUCACUCGCAAAGUGUCCUCACUUCGACCACCUCCUUGGGUUAUGUCCCUUUGACAUCCCCCAAUCAUUGUGAAACUUUUUAUUUAUUUUAAAAGUAUAUCCCAACAUUAUAGCUUUCUAUGAUGCUCCAGGCUCAUCUUCUGUAUUUCCUGCUGUGUCCUGGGAGCAGCCAUGUCUUCAGUGAGCCCUGAUUUCUCAUAGCAAAGAGUUUAGAAACCAGGAUCCUAUCCCUGGCUGCUGGGCCUUUGCUCCUCUGUCACAUAGAAGAGUUUUAGCCGUCCUCCCUUUAUUAACUUUUUAAAUUUUAGAUAUUUCUUAUUUUUAUGUGUAUGUGUAUUUUACCUGCAUGCAGGCUUGCACAUGUACGUACCUGUUGCCCGAAAGGGCAUCAUAUCCUCUGAAACUGAAAUUAUGGACAGUUUCGAGUCAUUCCGUAGGUGCUGGGAAUUGAACCCAGGUCCUCUGCAAGGAAUAAGUGCUCAUAACUAUGGAGCUGCCUCUCCAGCCCCCUAACUCCAGGGUUUUGUUUGUUUGGUGGGGGAGGGGUCCAAGUUUUAAUUUGUUUGGGUUUCUAUAUUAAGCAAUACCAUUUCUAUUAAAUAUUAGGGACCAGAACUGUUAAAUAGUUGUGACUUCUAUGCCUUUGGAAAGAAUGUUCUGUUGCAGGUAUCUUAAAGAAUUGCAGGAGCAAAACAAAAUAAAAAGGAAAACAAAGUAAACAGAACACAGAUGUGUAGGACUCGCUGUCAGGGAUGCUGUGGGUGAUGCUUGGGCAGAGUGCCUUUGCAGUAGCCUUUGUGAGCAGGGGGAUCCCUGAGGAUGAAGCCAGGGCCUCCUCCGUGGAGCUCCUGAGGCAAGCAUCCUGUACCUGAGCUCCCCAGCUCCCGACUCUCAGCUCUGCCGGCUUUCAUUUUUUAUGGACUUCUGUCUGUUUAUGACUAGACUAAGAAGUGCAAGUAGCCACUCAAUUGUAUUUACUCCUUAGAACAUUUCUUUUUUUUUUUUUUUUUUUUGCUGGAUGCCUAAUAUCUUAAUUAUGCAGUGAAAAGUGAUCUGCAGUAUCUACUCCCAGGAAUGACUGUUCUAGUAGGUGAUUAUCUAAUCACCCAGUGGUCAGGAAAGGACAACACGGUAUUAGGUAUUUUCCUGGCAAACACUCUCCCUAUCUAGAACUCAACAACUUAGAGAGAUCAGAGAGAUCUGAUAAAUGAUUUAAUUUAUAUUAAAUGAUAUAUAGUAGAAUGAUAGAAAGUAGAAAAUAUUUGACAUUACAUCUCAUUGAUAUUCUUGCCAAGAAAGAUAACACCUUAUCACCUUAUUCUUAACAUGACUUAUUAAUAUUCUUUGAUAGUAUGUAUAUAUAUAUAUAUAUUACAUUCUGCUUGUUUUGUUUGGGCCUAGAACUUCUUAUUUAGACCAGGCUGGCCUUGAACUCACAGAGAAUUGUUGGCCUGGCCUCUGUGCCACUGUGCCCACACAUAUAAUGCAUUCUGACUUCUUUCAUGCCAGCCUCCUACUGUCUCCCGCACACCUCUCUUACCCUGGCUACUCCCCCGGACUUCCUUACAACUCCAUUUUCACAUUCAUGUCUCUUUAUUUUGUCCUGUGAUCCAGGGCCUUUCUCUCCAUAGAAUCUGGGCUCUAUAUGGAGUUGAAGGGCCUCCUCUGUGGCUUCAUGAGUGAAGACAAUCGCUGGCUCUCUCUUAGAAUUUGGUCGCUAAUAAUUCAGCAGGGUAGCAGCGUUGGGGCAGGCCUGGUACGGGACUGACGACUCGUUCUUCUUUUCUUCUUUUCUUUUCUUUUUUUUUUUUUUUUGCCAAAAAUAUUUAUUUAUUAUGGAUUUAUUUGUUUAUUUAUUUAGAGAAUGUCUGUGUGUGUGUCUAUCUUUCUGUCUUCUUUUGUUUCUGUGUGUCGGUGUGCGGGCAUGUGUAUGGCACAGUAUGUAUGUGGAGCUCAGAGGACAGCUUGUGGGAGUCGGUUUUCUCCUUCCACCAUGUGGUCCCUGGGGCCAAAGGUCAUCAUGCUUGGUGGCAAACACCUUUACUUGCUGAACCAUUUUACCAUUCCUAAGGUUUAUUUUCAAUAGCUGUUAACUGAGAGUUGUCUGGGGACUGGGAAGCUCUGGCUAUUCCGUAGAGGACCCAGGUUCAUUCCCCAGCACCACACGGCAGCUCACAACAGUCCUUAACUCCAGUUCGAAGAGAUCUACAGCACCAGGCAUGCAUGUGGUCUAUAUUAUCUGUGCAUGCAGGCCAUACCUAUAUAUACAAAAUAAAAUAAAUCUGAAAAGAAGAAAAAGAUGGACCCCUUCAUGGUACAGUCAGUUACUACUCAGAGGAAGCCGGCUUACCUUUCCAUGUGAAGGGAGCUUGUUCUCCUUGGCAGCCAAGCCCUGCAGCUGCUGCCUGUGCCCUGGACUGCCCGCUGCCCGACCCUACUUGCCUUUGAGGGUUGGAGGUGAGGUGAUGCAGCAUCAAUGGCACAGAUUCUGGGAGCAGGUGAGAAAGACCACAGCAAGCUCCUUUAGUCCCUGUCCACCCUCACACCAUUGGCCCCAAGAAAGCAUCUCUUUUAGACAGCAGUUCCCGAUUGGCUAGCACUGUCUGCAUCAGCAAUCCUUGGUCUCUCAGACAGUCCUCAAUUAGGUCCUCCUGCAGGAGAUACCUUUGUUUAUGUAGAGGCACCUCACAGCUCCUCCUAUAUGCAGCAGCUGCUGCUGGCCAAGCCUUGCGAUCUUUUUAGAUUCAGAACAAAACAAAACAACAACAGCAACAACGACAGAAACCCAACUUUGGUUCUUUUAUAGGAUUCCUUCCCCUCCAGUGAUGAGCAGAAAGGCCCCUCACUCACAGUAACAAGCUACGUAAAUUUUGUAGAGGUUUUUUUUUCAUAAUAGAGAACGUGUAGCCACAAAGAGUAAGAUUUAGAAGAGCGUUGUGUGUGUCUGAGAGAGACAGAGAGAGAGAGAGAGAGAGAGAGAGAGAGAGAGAGAGAGAGAGAGAUAUGCCAUGCAGUCUAAAUGUUCCUGGACUAUUUGGGACCUGGAGGGUGGGUUGUGGCCAUGCCUGUGGGACUGACAGGAUGAUGUAUGACCUUAGGCCGCUGGAAGCAAGGCCAGCUGUGUUCAUGUGUAUAUGAACAUUCACUUUGCCACAGAGGCCCAGUGUCAGAGUCCUGCUGUCAGGCUGUAAAGGAAUUCCAGGCAAAUGUGAGGCCUACUGUAAGGGUAGCUUUUUGUGUCUGACGAUGAACUUGUACCCACUCACUUUUGUUGCCCCCGGUUUGAUAAACUACUUAGCUAUCUAUUCGAUGACUUCACCAUCACAGGCAUUUUGACUUUUGGCUCAAAGCAGAGCCUCGGUAUGAACUUAGUUUUGCUGUAGUUCAGGGAGCCAGAUUUCAUACAGUCAGUUUCCAGGAAACUGUAAGGAUAGUGAUAUGUGUGUAGCAGUUUGUCUUUUUUCUUUUUUAAUCCACAUCUUUGCCAGGAGAGUUUGCUGUGUAAUAAAAAGGUGAGAGUCUAUAGCUGUCUGUGUGCCAAGCCUAGUGUAGAUGAUUCGGUGCUCGAGGUAGCUGGUAGCUGCAAGAGAGCCUAUGCAAAGAGCUGUGUGUAGUACUCCUCACUGUUCCUGAGGGGUCAGAUGCAAGUCUAUAGUCCUGUUUGUGGAAAUUCUCUGAAGAGAGGAACAGCUCCUGGGUUGUCGGUGUCCUGUAGAGUUUCUGUGGUGAUGGACACACCCUCUCUCUUGCUGCAUAAUAUGACAGCCACAGGCCAUAUAGGUCUGCUCAGUGCUUGCAAUGUUGGGACAUGGCUGGGGACUUGAAUUUUAAACAAUUCAACUUACAUUUUAUUUCCAAUUUAAAUAGCCACAUUUGUCUAGUCAUUGCUCUUUCUUUGGACAGCACAGCUCUAAAAUGUUUACUUUUCUAACAUUCGGAAGUGCUUAGACCCCCACAAUACGUCUAACUAACAACCCAGAAGUAAGUAGUUAGUCUUUUGUUGUGAGUUUCCUUGUGUCUGGCUGCUGCAUGUGUGCCUCUGAAAGUUCAUGGUGGAACCAGGCACCCUUAGGAAUCUAGAGUUGUAGAUUAGCUCAGGAAGGCAUUGCACCACUCUAAAUGAUGCGCACCUGGGACUGCAAGGGGAUGUGUGUGGUAAGUUUGUGUCUGUGUUGUCUCCCCACCCAGGACUUGGUGAGCAUGGUGCAGGAUGCUCUGCUGCCUCAUUUGCUCUGCCAUUGAUCCUUUGCCCUCGAAUAAAGGCGAAGAUUGGAACGGGGAUCUUGGAAACAGAUAUGACAGAGGACCAGGAAAUCUGAUGUCUGCUGCAAGGCUAUGUCUUUUGGAUAUGAUAGGGAGACUUUGCUAGUGAUAUCUUAACAGUAUGGCUGCCUAAAGAAGACCGGAACAAUGACAUCACUAAUUGACAUGCUAGUGUGGCUGGGAGAAGUCUCACCAGGGCCCUAAUCCCAGCAAUUUACAAUUGUGAAGAGAGGGGAGAGUUGGUCUUCCCCAAGAAUGAGUGUCCUCAUUGUUUAUCCAGUACCAAUUGGUCAGCUCUAAAGACAUGAGUAUAGGCAACAUUAAAUGGACUCAGAAGGUUGUAUUUAAAUAUUCAGUCAUACAUAUGUAGCAGUAAUAAUUAAAGAAUAAGAGGCCAUUAAUUUAGGAGGAGUAGGGGUGAUGUGGGAGGGGCUGGAAGGGGAUGUGAUGUAACUAUUUUAAAAAAAGAAAAUAAGACACACCUCCCAUUAAAACAAAGUAUUACCCUUUUUAGAAUAUCUUAAGAUCAGAGUAGGAGUUAUUUAUUACUGUAGCGUUUUCCAAAGAGAGGUACCGUCAGGUCAUCUCAUUCCUUUAGAGCUGAAUUCUAAUAAUUACGUCUUUAGAGAUCACAGGAAUUCUUUAACCCCCUUUAAAGUUACUGAGAAAUCGCAGAGCAGCUCUGUGGGGAGGGGUCACAGUUCAUGUUUCCUUUCCUUUUCUAGAAACAUUUACUAAAAAUUCUAAUUAUCUGUCACUUUCAGAUUAAAAGAGAAACCACACACAGCCUCAUCUGUGUAAAUAUAUAUACAUAGAUUAAAAUCCUUAUGAUACUGAAAAAAAAUUGUAUAAGUCCUUAUUUUCCCAAGAGAAAACUUCUGUUUUUUCCGAUUGCUUUUGGAUACAUUUUUCUUCCUUCCUUCCUUCCUUCCUUCCUUCCUUCCUUCCUUCCUUCCUUCCUUCCUUCCUUCCUUCCUUCCUCCCUCCCUCCCUCCCUCCCUCCCUCCCUCCCUCCCUCCCUCCCUCCCUUUUCCUUCUUUUUAUCUCAGUGUUUCUCAGACUUUCAGAGUUACAGAUUUCUGGCUUAGUAGGUUUGCCAUAGGCCCUGGUUUCUGGUGCUGAUGUGGCUGGUCAAGGCCUGCUCUUCAGCAAUGACUGAGCCAUCUUGCUUGAUCAUCCAGGAACCCCAUGAUCUGCUGGCAGAUAUGGGCCUUCACUGAAAGAAACCAAAGCUGAAAGAAAGUCCUUUCCCCAGGACCACGUGAUAAAUUGGGGUGAAGAGCUACCUUAGUCUGGGAAGACUUUUGAUAUUGUCUGUUAGGUUUCAAACCUGGACAAAUGGUUGGGGUACCACUUAACAUAUCAAAGUGGACCUGGCUGUCAGGCUCUCCCUGCAUCCCUCAGUCCCCGCCUGUUGCAGGACCCUCCUGGUUGUGUAGACCUUGCCCCACACUCUAAACUCUGCCGCUCAGGGGGCUCGGCUGCUCUUCCCUUUAUAAUCCAAGCUCUUUUCUUAUCUGUGGGGCUCCUGGGUGCUGCACCUGGCCCCCCUCUGUCCCCUCUUCCUUCCUGUCCCCCCUCUCCCACACAGCACAGCUCAGGGUGAUGUCCACUCUGGACUCCCCCAGAGGCCCCUGACCCUGGCUGUGAUCUCCCACAGGUCGGUAGUAAACCUUCUGCUCUGCCAUAUCCAGGAGCAGCCAGGGUUCCCUCCUUUUCCUUUUUAUUUCUUUUAUUCAUUCAUUCUCCAUUGUACACCAGGAAUUUAGUCCCCAAAUCCCUCUGAGAGUUCAAACAUGUUCAAUAUCCUCAUCUCAUCCUUUGCGGAGCUAUUUAGAUGCAAUCCUUCCAGUACUCAUAUAUUUAUUCAGUCAUAUGUUUGAGUCUUUUUCUCUUUUCAAGAGGACAAUAACUAUUUUUUUUUUACCUUGUAAAAGGCUAGUGUGCUGACUCAAAAAGGCCAGAUACUAUGAAAGCCUGCAGACCCAGAACUCAUACAAAAGGACGAGAGAAGUGACUCUUUAGAGUUAUCCUGUGGCAUGUUCAUGCAUUUGCGUGCGUGCACACACACGUACACGCACAUGCACGCACACACACACUAACAACUUUAAAUUUUUUAAAGAGGAAGCAUAAAGGUACCAUCCCCUUUAAAGAAACAAUUGAUUGCGCUUGUUAAGACCACUCACAGUCAAUGACAAGAAAGGGGGACAUGCAGUCCUAUAACUGUUUUUCUAAACCCUAACUUGUCUGUAGAACCAUUAUUUGUGGGCCCAGCGAAUUUAGGUGGAUGAUGAAUGACCCAGGACAGGGAGUCUGAUAACCACACGGCCAGAGUCCCUAUACUUGUAUUGGCUGCAGCAAGGUGCCUUUACUGCUUGUAUGAUUGGAGUGUGUGUGUGUGUGUGUGUGUGUGUGUGUGAGAGAGAGAGAGAGAGAGAGAGAGAGAGAGAGAGAGAGAGAGAGAGAGAGAGAGAGAGAGAGAAAGAGAGAGAGAGAAUUGUAGGGGAACAAAGAAACCCAUGCUAUCAUAAACUUGGUCCUACUGAGUGGUUUCAUAUCACAUAUCCUGCAUAUCAGAUAUUUACAUUAUGAUUCAUAACAGUAGUAAAAUUGCAAUUAUGAAGUAGGAACAAAAAUAAUUUUAUGGUUGGUGGGAAGGGAAGGGGCUGAGGUUCUGUGUUACAGGGUAGCAGCAUUAGGCAGUUUGAGAAGCACCGACCUAAGGCCAGUGUGUGGUUUUACUUAUCCUGCAGCCUUUUAGGGGAUCAUUUUGAGGAAACUGGUCCUGGUGGGAGUAUGUAAUUUAGCCAAAGUCUCUCACAUUUAAGGUAAGCAAUCAAGCUGGGGCAUAAAUACCCUACCUUGGACUGACACGUAAGGGCUGGCAGUGAUACUCACUGGGAGUUGUGUGCAAAACUCCACAUUCCUCGAAGUAAAUUAUUCUCCAUCAAUGCAAAACUAAAUUUUUAGACUGAGCCCACGUUUCUCCCAUCUGUCUGUUGACCAGUUCCUUUGCUAAAAUGUCAGGUAGCGUGUCUUGCCGUGGCUAUCCCAGGGAGAUUUUAUGGCAGCCAUUUGGGUGUUAACUGCCGUGUGUUGUGAGCUUCAAUUUGUCUUAAAGCUACAAAGAGCUUCCAUGACAUUUGCACCAAUAACUCAGGUUUGUUAUUCUUCAUUUCUCCUUGGUAGGUCUGAUGGCUUUCCAAACAAAGGCAGUCCUCUAAGUACCUGGCAUAACCUAGUUCAUGGAGGUGCUUGGAUAAAACUCCCGGAGAUGUCUAUUUAAGAUCAGUUCCUUAGAUUCCCCCAUUGUCCCCAAGGUCUUUUUACCUCUUGUAUGAGUGUUUUAACAGAAUAUUUCAUAAUGAUAUUCAGAUUUACAAUAAUUGAUUUGUGGAUACUAUUGAUAACUCUACACUGAACAAAUACAUGGUAACUAAUUCAUGUAGUCAAGUCAUUGCCGUGUGGCUAUGAGGACUGUAUUGGCUCUUAGAUGUUUCCCUUACCUACUGAGUAAGGUAAAAAUCACUGACUUGAAAAUAAACUCCUUCCUGCCUUUGGAUGUCAGCUUUCUUUUCUGUUAGUUAUGCUGCUUUCCUCCUUGAGUGGAGUGAGAUGGCGUGUGUCAUUCAUACCAGUGUCUGUGCAGUGGAGUGACAGUAAGCAGUGGCCAGGCGGUGCCUCUCCUUAAAAUAGUUUUUCUUCAUGAAAAAGCUCUGAAAUCAGAGCACAGUGGUCCAACUAGAACGUAGACAUCUUGGAGAAACAGGUUGGAAGCAAGACUGCCAUGUGACCCCUUGAGACAAACAUCUUUAGGAAGAACACAUCAACUAGGAACAUUAGUAAAAGGGUCACGCUUAUAGAGAGGGUCAGGGUGUCUUCGAUGGCAGAACACUUUGCAGAUGGUGGUGGCAUUUGUGUGUCUGAACUUAGAGCCACUGAAUCGGGCCACUUGAACAUGAAGAUGCUUAAGUGGCACUGUGGUGGAGUGCACGCUUAUAUUCUGAGCCCUGCGUUUGAGCUCCCACACUACAGACAAUAAACACAUCAACAGUUACAAACAGAGUUGAAUACUGGUGCUUCAGUGGAAAAUGUAAGCGAAGAAAAGAGCAGUAUGUGUUGAGCAUCUGAGCUGCCUUCUGGGCAUCUCUCCAGUGGAUGUACCAUCACACCCGGCAGUUUGUGACCAGCAGAUCCAUUUGGUGGAGUGGAUCCCACCUGGUUAGGAAUCUGUUCUCUCAUGUUCCAGGCUGUGGUCCUAGGGGCAGGGCCAGCACACGCUCAGUGAGUGAGGACACCGUUCCCCUCAGUAGCCCACGUGUGGUCCGUGCACUCGAUAUGACCACAGCCUAGCCAGCUCUCUGGAGAUGACUUGGCCUCAGAUGUGAGACUGGGCAGCAUGGUGGCCUCACCUUUCUGUCACUCACCAGCUGCACACAGAUUCUAAAGGAAUUUCUGAACCUUUUCUGUGUGAGAAUAGCCAUACUUGUAAGAACCAUGCACGGCUUAGAGGACCCGAGUUUGAGUACCAUUCUUACCCUUACGUGGUGAGGAUCUAUGGCCGGAAUCUGCUGCUCUCCUGGAGUUACCGUCUAACAGCGCCGCUUUUACAAGAGGGGAGCUCUGUGACGUGGCCAGUGCUGUACUGAUGUGAAAUGAGUCUUGACUGGACAGAAAGUUACAAACUUAAUAAUAAUGUGAAAUUCUACUUUCUAGCAAGUCACCUUGCUAUUCUUUAGUUUCAGAGCAAUUAUAAAAUUGUGAACGAUUUGGAGUAGGAGGAAGGGGUCUGGUUAACUCAGCCAGGCACGAUUUUCUCCUUAUAAGUGUCUCUGGCCUGUCUAGUAGUCCGGUAUGUUGUGGACACUGCUCAUUGUCUUUGAACUUUUUAUCCUUUGGUGUGUGGGAUAGGAGGAGAGUGGAGGUGGAGAUGGGGGAGCAGCGGAGGCAUUUGCUUCUCUUUCUAGCUCCUGGGUCAGGUCACUCCUUACAGCCACCUGCUACUCUGCCAAGGGAUCUAAUCCCCUCUUCUGGCUUCUGUAGACAAGUGCAUGCACACACACGUGCACACACACGCACAACAACAACAGCAAUAAUAACAACAACAACAUUUUUUUUCCUCAGAAGAAAGCAGGUCUUAAGGCUGCUGGCUCUUGUCACGGACACACUGGUCAUGUUUGGAGAGUGCAGCAGACCCCUGUCCUAUGCACGGCCUUACUUUGGCCCGAUUUCCUUCAUGAUGGUGGUUUAGAUACCUAUGUGUUUUCCAUUUUGGAUUCUCCUGUAAGUUAUAGCAUUUCACUGGUUCCUUCAUUAGUGAGAUCAAUAAAAUUAUUUACCUUUGUUUAUUUUUUAAGAGUCAUAAUUUUACUUUUAUAAAGAAAUCUUUCCUUUUUGGAAGAUACAUUUAUUUUUAUUUUGUGUGCAUGUAUGUUUGCUUGUAUGUAUAUGUACCACAUUCAUGCAGUACCUAAAGACGCCAGAAGGGGGCACCAGAUUUUUCCUGUAAUUGUGGUUAUGGGUCCGUGUCCCGCGGGGGAUGGGGUGGGGGGGGGGGCAUGUUGAUAUUCAGAACUAAACCCUGGGUCCGCUGAAAGAGUAGCUGGUGCUUUUAAUUGCUCAGCUAUCUCUUUAGCCUGUAUAAAUGAAUAUUCUGUAAUACAGUAAAAGAACACAAUCCUGGGAAUUACAUUUCUACUUUGUCUGUCUGUCUGUUCAUCUGUCUUUUCUAUUCCUGCCUUUCUCCCUCCCUAUGCUGUGUGUGUGUGUGUGUGUGCGCGUGCGUGCGUGAUGUGUGUUGGUGCAUGUGUGUGCAUGUGAGGACAGUGAUCAACCCUAGGCCUUGUUCUCCAGGAGCCAUCCCCCCUGUUUGUUGAGACAGCUUCUCACUUUUUAGCAGGCUACCCAGAAAAGCACCGUGGAGCGAGCCCCUUGCCUCUGCUUUUCCACGCGUUCACCACCAUGCCUGGAUCUUUAUGUGGGUGCCUUAAAUGACCUCUGGCCCAUGGUUAUGUGACUUGAAAUUUUAUCAUUUAAUACCCUCUAAACCCAGUAUGUCUGCCUUAAGCCUGUUAGUGUGGAAGCACAUUAGCAUAAAGUCGAUCUAGUUCUUUCAGUGAAGUUUACCCUCUCUUCCUCCCCCUGGCACCCGCUUCCUUCCCCCCUUUCUGCCUCUCUCCUUUCUCCCUUUGUUUCUCAUAGGGUCUUAUUAUAGAGCCCGAGGCUUACCAGACUCUCAAAUCCUCCCGUCUCUGCUUCUCAAGGGCCAAGACAAAUUGCAUCUUGCAUCACUUCAGAAUCUGUCCUAUAUAAAGGCCACAGUAGAAGUUCUCUGAAGUGAUUGUUAAAGCAGACAGAAGUAUGUUUUACAGAAGUUUUAUCUGUUGCUUUGUAUUUCUUGCUUAUGGCAGUUUUCAGUAGAGAGUAAUUGAAGAAAAAAGAGCAUCCUACUGUAGGUAAUGAUUUAGUUAAGAAAGAUGUUUGCCUGUAAAAUGGCAUCUUGGUAUAGAAAAACCAACAGUGCUCACAGAAAGCAAUGGUGCUAAUUCCAGUGACUUGCUUGUUUGUUUUAAUACCAACCACCCUUGUGCUCAGAAAAGUAUUUCCGCAUCACCCAACCCCACAGAGUUGAGACAUGUAAGGAUUGAAGCUCUCAUUUCUGCUGUUCGUGUGGUCAUUUUUAAACACUAAUACUAGACUUGCAUCCCAUGAGCUAAGGCCACUAAACACCACAGGCUAGAUGGUUUGAAAAACAGGAUUUAUUGUUCAUUAUCAUAGCUCUAUAAAACAGGUCAGAGUCCUUCUGCAUUGUUUAACAAGGGCUUGCUUUCUGGUUGCAAAUGGUUCCUUCUAGAAAAUCCCCUUUAUUCCUGCAUGCCCAUGAAGAAGUAUAUUUCAUUGGAACCUUCCUCCUGUUAGGUCAAGACCCACCUGCAUCUCCUGAUUUAGCUGUAGUUUCUCCUCCGAAGGCUUCAUCUCCAUGGGACACUUUGAGGGUUAAGGCUUUAACAUAAUGAAUUUUGAGGUGGAUUCAAACAUUGAGUUUAUAAAAAGGUACGGUACUUUUAGAAGCAGAAAUCAGACAUCUAAGGUAUAGGAGGCAUCAAGUGCUGUCCCUAGAGGAGGCCAGGUGAGCACCACCCAGGCCCUCAUGGUGGUGACACGACAGGCCCACAUCAGUGCGGGUUCUCAUCUAGAAUGGAGUAAUUAUACUAAGCCACUGCUGUUCCUCGGUCCAAAAUUUUGACUAUGAUCUCUGAAGUUUCCCCCUGUAGUGAAAGAGGACAAUAAACCUGCCUUUUUACAUUUUUAAUUUAGUCUAAAUUUGGGGAUGCCUUUGGGCAGUACAUGUCUUUAGAUGUUUUCAGCUUAUAUAAUGGUAUCCUAGAAAAGACAAAUGCUUUCUGUUUUUCCAAUUCUUGGCCUUUCCGUAGAACUGCCUUUAUUGGUUCCAUUGCUAAUGGGAAUGCUGUCACUCAGGACAUAAUAUAGCAUGAUCUUUCUUGGUCCUUGGAGUGGCUCCCUUGGCAGUGUGGUGUCACCUCAGGUCCUGGGGCUCUCCUUCUGGGCCUGAUGCCUUUUGUUGCUGUAUGUCAUGUCUCAUCUUGUAAAUCCUUCUAGCAAUACCUUUUAUUACUGAGGUGGCAACUCUUGUUUCUGCCAGGGCUCUACACUGCUACUGUUAUAGGUCAUUCAUUUAAAACACCUAGCCAAAGAGCAGCAGACAGAUCAUCACCUGCAAAGAGCAGACCAUCAUAUUUGCUUUCUUCUCAAACUCUGUGUUGAUCAUGGAAAGUUUUUCAUGUAUCCUAGGGUGUCCUCAAACUCACUACGGAGUGGAGAAUGGCCUUAAACUCCUGAUCUUCACACAUCCUGGGAUUACAUACAUGUGCCAGCGUGCCUGCCUCAUCAGGCCUUUUUGUUAACAUUUUUACCUUGUAGGAAAUUGAGUUUGUGUUUCCUCACCUUGAGCUAUCAUUACUUAAGGAGGUUAGUCUAACUAUUUCUGGCUGUUUUUUCUCCUAGGCCAUUCAUCUCAUGGUUAAGGUGUGGUCAUAGCUGUGAAAUUAAAUGGCAUCUAACAGCCAAUGAACUAUAUUUAGAUUUGUGCUUGAUAGUAUUUUCUUCCCAGUGUUGGGGAUUGAAUCCAGGGCUGUGCACAUAGGAGGUAAGUGCUCUCCCACUUAGCCAUAUCCUAACUUCUAAAAAUGCUUUGAGACCCAUUUGAUGUUUUCUCUUUCCUUCCUAGUUAUCCACCAAGCUUAGUCUAUUUGAAAGAUACUGUUUUCUCAUAAUCUACCUUUAGUGUACAGUUUUAUUGAUCCCCCUAAAUUUAUACAGAUUUUCUCUUACUUCUGCUGAUGAUCUUUCUCUUACAUUAACUUUUUAUGUGCAUGCCGCUGAUAUAAAAUUCUAGGUAUAAAGAGCAAAACAGACAAUUGGGCCAGGCAGCAUAGGCCUGCAGUCUUAGCUACUUGGGAGGCUACAAUACGAAGCCUGGAAGUUUAAUGUUCACUUGGGCUACAGGGCAAGUUCAAGGUCAGCCUGGGCAAGUUAGGAAGACAUUGCCACAAACCACAAAGUAAAAGGAGGGUUGAGAGUGUUGCUUAGUGGCAAAGGGCUUGCCUAGCACAUUGGCAGUUCAAUCCUGAGCAAUGCAAGUGUGUCCACACGCACUUAUGCACACACUCAUAUGCACUAAUGUGCACUUGUACACACAUGUGCACACCGAGAGCAACGUGAACAACCAAAGAAACGGUUUAGACAAAGGAUAGAAAUAUAAUUAAAGCACACACUGUUUAACUUGCUAUCGGAGGUUCUGGGCUCUGGAGAAAGUCUGAAAGAUUCUCUUUUCUCAGGACCUCCUUUUCUAAACUAAUUUUUCUCACUUGUACUUAGUGGCUUGCUCAGUGCCUUCUCAGUAUGAGCUACGUACUUUGGUGUUAACUGUCUCCCCUCCAUCUUCAUCUUCAGUCUUAGUUAGGAUUUUACUGCUGUGAACAGACACCAUGACCAAGGCAACUGUUAUGAGAACAACAUUUAAUUGGGGCUGGCUUACAGGUUCAGAGGUUCAGUCCAUUAUCAUCAAGGCAGGAACAUGGCAGCGUCCAGGCAAGCAUGGUACAAGAGACACAGAGAACUCUGCAUCUUCAUCUGAAGGCCACUAGCAGAAUACUGGCUUCCAGGCAGCUCAGAGAAGGGCCUUAAAGCCCAUGCCCCACAGUGACACACCUACUCCAACAAGGUCCCAUCUCCUAAUUGUGCCACUCCCUGGGCCUAGCAUAUUCAAAGCCACCACAGUGUCUGAGAGUGAAGAGCAGUUUCUCACACCGAGGAGAAGUUGACAUUCAGGAGGUGCUCUUCCAGGGAUGAUGCCCUCUGUCCCGCAAGUGUCCCUGUGAAACUGGCUUCUUGGUUUCUAGUCUUUGGAUGAAGAGACAGGGAAGCUGAACUUGGGAGGUUUCUUGGAGGCAUCAUGGAGGUAUCAAGGUGUCAGAGUGUGACUUAUUGUUGUGCUCACUUGUAUCUGAGUUUUUUUGCUUGUGAAUCCAAGUUAUGUACCUAAUGAGAGAAUAAUAAAGUAGUAUCAUUUUGGCUUAAAUUUGUUUCUUAGAUUAGACUGGUGCAUUCAGGAAGAACAUAGCGCAGUGUAGUGGGAAGAGUAUUAUUCUGGGAGGCCUACAUCUAGGUGAGAAGGCAGCUUUGCCAGAUGACGAGUACGCCGGGCCUGAGCCUGCUAUUUCAUCUUUUCAGGCCUGAGGUUUCCAGUUCUACUCUGAAGGAGCAGAGGUAGGAUAACUCUUGGAUCUCUCACUUCAGUGCUGUAGUGGCAGUGAGAGGGAGUUUGUAACUGUAGAGGGGACUGGAUAGAACUGGGACAGAGGACGUGAGGCAUGAGAGAUGAGAGGGUGGUGAAGGACAGGGGCUGUUGUGGUGGCAGAGCAAAGGCUGUUGCUCAGGAAUGCAGCUGAUUAUUUUCAAUGGGGAAUUAAUAAGUCAGGUGUGACUAUGGGAAUUAAUAGGGCAGGUGUGACUAUGGGGAAUUAAUGUGGCAGGUGUGACUCUGGGGGAUUAUUAGAGCAGGUGUGACUAUGGGGAAUUAUUAGGUCAUGUGUGACUAUGAAGAAUUAAUAGGGCAGGUGUGUCUAUGGGGAAUUAGUAGGGUGGUGUGACUAUAGGAAUUAAUAGGGCAGGUGUGACUAUGGAGAGUUAAUAGGGCAGGUGUGACUAUAGAGAAUUAAUGUGGCAGGUUUGACUAUGGAGAAUUAAUAGGCCAGGUGUGGCUAUGGGGAAUUAAUAGGGCAGAUGUGACUAUGGAGAGUUAGUAGGGCAGGUGUGACUAUGGGCAAUUAAUAGGGCAGGUGUGACUAUGGAGAAUUAAUAGGGCAGGUGUGACUAUGGGUAAUUAAUAGGGCAGGUGUGACUAUGGGGAUUUAAUAGGGCAGGUGUGACUAUGGGGAAUUAAUAGGGCAGGUGUGACUAUGGGGAUUUAAUAGGGCAGGUGUGACUAUGGGGAUUUAAUAGGGCAGGUGUGACUAUGGGGAAUUAAUAGGGCAGGUGUGACUAUGGGGAUUUAAUAGGGCAGGUGUGACUAUGGGGAUUUAAUAGGGCAGGUGUGACUAUGGGGAAUUAAUAGGGCAGGUGUGACUAUGGGGAAUUAAUAGGGCAGGUGUGACUAUGGGGAUUUAAUAGGGUAGGUGUGACUAUGGGGAAUUAAUAGGGCAGGUGUGACUAUGGGGAAUUAAUAGGGCAGGUGUGACUAUGGGGAUUUAAUAGGGCAGGUGUGACUAUGGGGAAUUAAUAGGGCAGGUGUGACUAUGGGGAAUUAAUAGGGCAGGUGUGACUAUGGAGAAUUAUUAGGCUAGGUGUGACUAUGGGAAUUAUUAGGCCAGGUAUGACUCUGGAGAAUUAAUCGGGCAGGUGUGACUAUGGCUACUAAUGAGAAACACUUCUUAAUCUUAGAAGAGGUCUUACUGCUCUGUUUGUUUUGUUGAGAAAAAUCACCUUAAAGGAGGAAAGGCCUAUUUUGCUCACGGUUUUAGUCUGUGGUCAGUUGGCUCCAUUAUUUUUGUGUCCAUGGCAAAAUAGCAAAUUGUUGGUGCAAGUUGAUGUGUGUACCUCAUGGUGCAUAGGAAGUA